GGCUCUAUAGUGUAGUAGUUAUCAUGUCUGCUUUGCAUGCAGAAGGUCCUGGGUUCAAGCCCCAAUGGAACCA